rnacentral:misc_RNA from 1 species
GACGAACCGUGCAAACGUUGUUCGGAAUCACUGGGCUUAAAGGGUGCGUAGGCGGUGCGGAAAGUUGGGUGUGAAAUCCCUCGGCUCAACCGAGGAAUUGCGCCCAAAACUGCCGCGCUCGAGGGAGUCAGAGGUGAGUGGAACUUAGGGUGGAGCGGUGAAAUGCGUUGAUAUCCUAAGGAACACCGGUGGCGAAAGCGACUCACUGGGUCUCUUCUGACGCUGAGGCACGAAAGCUAGGGUAGCGAACGGG